AUUGCGGUAGUCUAAUUAGACAUCUGAUUUCGACCCAGAAGAACUUAAUACUUAAGCCCCAGUA
rnacentral:tRNA from 1 species